rnacentral:rRNA from 1 species
UACAGAGGGUGCAAGCGUUAAUCGGAAUGACUGGGCGUAAAGCGUGUGUAGGUGGUUAGAUAAGUUAGAUGUGAAAUCCCCGGGCUUAACCUGGGAACUGCGUUUAAGACUGUUUAACUAGAGUACUGUAGAGGGUAGUGGAAUUUCCAGUGUAGCGGUGAAAUGCGUAGAUAUUGGAAGGAACACCAGUGGCGAAGGCGACUACCUGGAUAGAUACUGACACUGAGACACGAAAGCGUGGGGAGCAAACAGG